UACGAAGGGGGCUAGCGUUGUUCGGAAUUACUGGGCGUAAAGGGCGCGUAGGCGGUGUGUCAAGUCAGGCGUGAAAUUCCCGGGCUCAACCUGGGGGCUGCGCUUGAUACUGAUUGGCUUGAAUGCGGGAGAGGGAUGUGGAAUUCCAGGUGUAGCGGUGAAAUGCGUAGAUAUCUGGAGGAACACCGGUGGCGAAGGCGGAUCUCUGGGCCUUACCUGACGCUGAGGCGCGAAAGCUAGGGGAGCGAACAGG
rnacentral:rRNA from 1 species